AGUCCAAGCUCAGUCAGCAGAAGAGAUAAAAGCAAACAGGUCUGGGAGGCAGUUCUGUUGCCACUCUCUCUCCUGUCAAUGAUGGAUCUCAGAAAUACCCCAGCCAAAUCUCUGGACAAGUUCAUUGAAGACUAUCUCUUGCCAGACACGUGUUUCCGCAUGCAAAUCAACCAUGCCAUUGACAUCAUCUGUGGGUUCCUGAAGGAAAGGUGCUUCCGAGGUAGCUCCUACCCUGUGUGUGUGUCCAAGGUGGUAAAGGGUGGCUCCUCAGGCAAGGGCACCACCCUCAGAGGCCGAUCUGACGCUGACCUGGUUGUCUUCCUCAGUCCUCUCACCACUUUUCAGGAUCAGUUAAAUCGCCGGGGAGAGUUCAUCCAGGAAAUUAGGAGACAGCUGGAAGCCUGUCAAAGAGAGAGAGCAUUUUCCGUGAAGUUUGAGGUCCAGGCUCCACGCUGGGGCAACCCCCGUGCGCUCAGCUUCGUACUGAGUUCGCUCCAGCUCGGGGAGGGGGUGGAGUUCGAUGUGCUGCCUGCCUUUGAUGCCCUGGGUCAGUUGACUGGCGGCUAUAAACCUAACCCCCAAAUCUAUGUCAAGCUCAUCGAGGAGUGCACCGACCUGCAGAAAGAGGGCGAGUUCUCCACCUGCUUCACAGAACUACAGAGAGACUUCCUGAAGCAGCGCCCCACCAAGCUCAAGAGCCUCAUCCGCCUAGUCAAGCACUGGUACCAAAAUGUAUGGCCCUCCCACCAGGCCUGUGUAAGAAGAAGCUUGGGAAGCUGCCACCUCAGUAUGCCCUGGAGCUCCUGACGGUCUAUGCUUGGGAGCGAGGGAGCAUGAAAACACAUUUCAACACAGCCCAGGGAUUUCGGACGGUCUUGGAAUUAGUCAUAAACUACCAGCAACUCUGCAUCUACUGGACAAAGUAUUAUGACUUUAAAAACCCCAUUAUUGAAAAGUACCUGAGAAGGCAGCUCACGAAACCCAGGCCUGUGAUCCUGGACCCGGCGGACCCUACAGGAAACUUGGGUGGUGGAGACCCAAAGGGUUGGAGGCAGCUGGCACAAGAGGCUGAGGCCUGGCUGAAUUACCCAUGCUUUAAGAAUUGGGAUGGGUCCCCAGUGAGCUCCUGGAUUCUGCUGGUGAGACCUCCUGCUUCCUCCCUGCCAUUCAUCCCUGCCCCUCUCCAUGAAGCUUGAGACAUAUAGCUGGAGACCAUUCUUUCCAAAGAACUUACCUCUUGCCAAAGGCCAUUUAUAUUCAUAUAGUGACAGGCUGUGCUCCAUAUUUUACAGUCAUUUUGGUCACAAUCGAGGGUUUCUGGAAUUUUCACAUCCCUUGUCCAGAAUUCAUUCCCCUAAGAGUAAUAAUAAAUAAUCUCUAACACCAUUUAUUGACUGUCUGCUUCGGGCUCAGGUUCUGUCCUAAGCCCUUUAAUAUGCACUCUCUCAUUAAAUAGUCACAACAAUCCCAUGAGGCAUUUUUAAAAAUUUUUUAUUAUUUUAGAUUCAGAGGGCACAUGUGCCAUUUGUUACACAGCUAUAUUGUGUAAUGGUGGGGUUUGGGCCUCUAUUGAUCCUGUCGCCCAAAUAGUGAACAGAGUACCCAAAAAGAAUUUUUUCAACCUUUGCCUUUCUCCCUUCCUCCUCCCUGUUGGAGUCCCUAGUGUCUAUUGUUCCCAUCUUUAGCAGAUGUUAAGUAUUUGAUUUUCUGUUUCUGGGUUAAUUCACUUCGGAUAAUGGCCUCCAGCUGCAACCAUGAUUUCAUUCUUUCUUAUGGCUGCAUAAUACUCCAUGGUGUAGAUAUACCACACUUUCUUUAUCCAGUUCACACUGAUGGGCACUUAAGUUGAUUCCAUGACUUUGCUAUUGUGAAUCGUACUGCGAUAAACAUACGAGUGCCGGUGUCUUUUGAUAGAAUGAUUUCUUUACCUUUGGGUAGAUACCGAGUAGUGGGAUUGCUGGGUUGAAUGGACAUUCUACUUUUAGUUAUUUGAAAAGUCCCAUGAGGCAUGUUUUCUAUCAUUCCCAUCUUACAGAUGAGACAAAGGCUCAGAGAGGUGAGGUCACUUGCUCAAGGACAUCAGCUAACAAGUGGUGGAAAUGGAAUUCAAGCUCAGUGGACUCUAAAGCCAGUGCUCAUGUCACUGUGCUAAACAGCCUGCCUUGUCACAUCCCCACCUCUCAUCUGACCAAUGGGAGACUCUGAGCAGCUGAGUGACUUGGGUUGUCACACAGCUAAACAGGGGCAAAGGACCCAGUCUUGGAUCUUUCCACCUCCAAGCAGGAAUCUGUCUGAUUCCAGGGGAUUGAUGAUGUUGCAGAUGGCUAGGAAGCAGACUCCAGGAUGGAAUUUAGUAUGCAGGAUGUUCUGGGGGAGAGCCACUGGAACCAGCACUCAGGGAAAGGGGGGAAGAAAGGAUAGGAAGGAAGCAUGAAAGAGAAUAGGGAGAAGUGAACAGGGAUGCAGAGCGAAUGCCAGUUUCAGCCAACUCCAAGGACAGCCCUGGAGCUGGAAUGGCCUUUAGAGCUGCCCCAUGGUGACAGAGGUGGCCAGGCUUCUAUACCCCUACGUGGAUCACUCACUGUGCUUGGGCACCUUGGGAAAGGGCAUGGCUUUGAGCAAAAGGCUCUCUGCAGCUGAGGCAACCCCUAAAAGGGCUGACGGCUGAAGUCUGUCUGCUGACCACUGUCCCAGCAGCUGGGGCUUGUUAGUCCUUCCUCAAAGGGGGAUCCAGAUGGCAUGUCACAGUGUCUACCGUAAAUGCUCACUGAAUCCAGCUGCAAUGCAGGAAGACUCCCUGAUGUGAUCAUGUGUCUCACCCUUUCAGGCUGAAAGCAACAGUGCAGACGAUGAGACCGACGAUCCCAGGAGGUAUCAGAAAUAUGGUUACAUUGGAACACAUGAGUACCCUCAUUUCUCUCAUAGACCCAGCACACUCCAGGCAGCAUCCACCCCACAGGCAGAAGAGGACUGGACCUGCACCAUCCUCUGAAUGCCAGUGCAUCUUGGGGGAAAGGGCUCCAGUGUUAUCUGGACCAGUUCCUUCAUUUUCAGGUGGGACUCUUGAUCCAGAGAGGACAAAGCUCCUCAGUGAGCUGGUGUAUAAUCCAGGACAGAACCCAGGUCUCCUGACUCCUGGCCUUCUAUGCCCUCUAUCCUAUCAUAGAUAACAUUCUCCACAGCCUCACUUCAUUCCACCUAUUCUCUGAAAAUAUUCCCUGAGAGAGAACAGAGAGAUUUAGAUAAGAGAAUGAAAUUCCAGCCUUGACUUUCUUCUGUGCACCUGAUGGGAGGGUAAUGUCUAAUGUAUUAUCAAUAACAAUAAAAAUAAAGCAAAUACCA